GAUGAACGCUGGCGGCGUGCCUAAUACAUGCAAGUCGAGCGAAUGGAUUAAGAGCUUGCUCUUAUGAAGUUAGCGGCGGACGGGUGAGUAACACGUGGGUAACCUGCCCAUAAGACUGGGAUAACUCCGGGAAACCGGGGCUAAUACCGGAUAACAUUUUGAACCGCAUGGUUCGAAAUUGAAAGGCGGCUUCGGCUGUCACUUAUGGAUGGACCCGCGUCGCAUUAGCUAGUUGGUGGGGUAACGGGUCACCAAGGCAACGAUGCGUAGCCGACCUGAGAGGGUGAUCGGCCACACUGGGACUGAGACACUGCCCAGACUCCUACGGGAGGCAGCAGUAGGGAAUCUUCCGCAAUGGACGAAAGUCUGACGGAGCAACGCCGCGUGAGCGAGGAAGGCUUUCGGGUCGUAAAACUCUGUUGUUAGGGAAGAACAAGUGCUAGUUGAAUAAGCUGGCACCUUGAUGGUACCUAACCAGAAAGCCACGGCUAACUACGUGCCAGCCGCCGCAGUAA
rnacentral:rRNA from 1 species